CAAUGUUUAACUAAAUCAAACAACACAGUUUUCGAAAUCUGUUCUGACGGUGGACAGAACACAGCAAGCAGUUUGUAAAAUUCAUAACUCUUAAACCGUCAGGCCUAUAGUUAUGAAAUUUUAACACAAGCAAGAUAAGAAAAGCCUCUACAACUUUCUUAUAAUGAUCAUGAACAGGUUGCAACAUUAAAUUGAGCAAACAAUACAAUUUCUGAAAUCUGUACAGAAUUUGGACAGAUUCAGUUACUGAAUUUGUAAAAAGCACAACUCCUAAACUGUUAGACCUGUGGCUGUCAAAUUUUAACAUCAGCAAGAUAAUAAAGUUAUCUACCACUUUUCUAUAGCACAUAUCUACAGAAAACACAAUUUAGUUCAUCAAACAUAUAGCACAACUAAAACAGCGCGUGCAGUCCAAAACAACAAUCAAUAAAUUUCAGCUCCUAUAUAAUUCAAGAAUUAGUCGUGUUCUAGAGACUUCAAUUAUUCUAACACUUCUCCGUUGAUUAGAGUUAAAUUAGUCAAAUUAGGACCAUCAAGUUGACUCAUAAAUUUUAUCCAAGUCAUUUCGUGCUCUAGAUUUACCAUACUCAAUUAACCACGCGUUCUCCACGAUAAUCAACAUCGAAGCGCUUUUCACCCAAUAAUUUGCAUUUCAACUUAGACAUCACAUGAAUACUACUACUUUUUACCCGCGACCAUAACAUACAUAUUUAGACUACAACAAGCAAUUCACCGUGAUUACGGGCUUAACCACGUCAUCUAGCAAUUCGGUUAACUAGAGCAACGACAUCGCCGCUAAAUAACAUACACGUCAACUUGACUAUUAUUGCCGCAAUCCGAGACGCAACAUAUACUACAACAUUUUUAUAAACACGCAGAUUCACAAGUAUAUUCGCACACCGACCAACUCAUAUGAAUCGUAAAUCACAAAUCUCCAAAUUGCAGUCACCACGCAUUUACUUCCCAAAUCAUGAAUGCAUACAUGUUUAUCCUACGAACCGGGUAUUUCAAUAAUUAUCCUAAAACAACUAACUCCAUUACACACUUGUAUCACAAAUCUACUUGAUUUACUUGAAGCGUCUACUCGAAAUCGUGAGCACAAUCAUACACUAUAUGCGAAGCAUAAUUUAACAAACACAUAAUGUGCAUCGACUCGACUCGACUUAUAAACAUAGAGGAAGCGAUGACUACUUCAGCAUGUCACCACCUCUCUAUAUAAGCCAAAACAAUUUCUAGUAUCGACUAAGACUUAUAGGUAUUAAACACGUUAUUACUUUCUACGCGCAAAUAAACCUCAACUUAGCACAAGUGACACCGAUGGAUUUUUACUAAACUCACCAUGCGCAUAACCUUGUCUCGCAUACAACCAUAUGGUGGCGUGCACUCGAGACACUUCAAUCAACGUGGCGCGACCACUAAUAUAUAAACUCCGACACUCAUGUUUUAAUAAUUUAUCCUCUACGCAACUAGCAUUUUCUAAACUACUUGUCACAUCAAUAAAUAUACUCCCUAGAUAAUCAUGAAUCCCAUCAUAAUGCAUAAAACAAUUAUACUUUUCACAUAAACGCAUAUCGAUACAUCUCCCAAAACUUAACCCGCAUUUUGUAACUUAGUUUUUCGCAUCAAACCACACAUCACAUAUUUUUCCUACCAAGAUAUAAAAACAUCAGAGUUCUUUUCUACUUCAUUUUCCUCUCUACACGCUUCCAUUCAUACAAAAGUAUUUUCACACACAUAAUCACACAUGCACUUCAUCGAUCAAAACCUAAUUAGACUCACUACAAUUCGCACACAUCAAAUAACCUCUUGUUCUCCAAUCGCAAACGCGAUCCUACCAAUGCGCAUAACCGAAACAUUUUACACACAUCCAUUCAAAAUAAUUAAUCGAGUCGACCGAGAGCGACAUACAUCGGCUCACCAUAAACAAACCCAAUCGGUGUUUGUAAGGACGAUGGCGAUUCCGAUUUGUGCAUCGCUUCGAACAUCCGACGAGCGUUGAACGACUUGCCUUCUCCUAAACACGGGGUUUCUCUCCUCCACAAACAAAACAAAAACAGCACAUAUACACAAUUAAUCACCGGAGAACAAAGCCGAUGUGGAAUCAAUAAGGAUCGUCGUCGUCUCACCGAGGGUGAACGGCGUCGAUGUUGGGGCUGCGCAGAUCCGGCGAAGUGAGGCGCAUAAACGGUCGAACUGCGCAGAGCGAUGACGCGGCAUGGAGCUGUCCCAAACACCAACACGACGAUGUGGGUCGGGACUGCACAGAUCGAACGAAGCACGCGAUGUGGAGGGGAUCCGGGGCUGCUGUUUUGUGGGGGAAGAGAGGAGGUUGUUGCUGCUGCAUUUUCUGGGCGCCGGCAAGGGGAAGCUACAGGGGGGGUGGCGCCCAUGGGAGCUUGGCUGCUCGAGCUUCACCGGCGCCAUGGAUCUAGGGAGCUGCUACUCGCCGGCAGCAAGGGCACCGAGUUGGGCUGGAAGCAGCCGCGGAGGGAGCUCGCCCAUGCCAUGGAUAGCAGGGGGAAACGCUGGGGAGCUCGACCAACGAGGUUGCUGGUCGACCAUGGAGACACCCUGCUGCCGAGCGCCAUGGAUCCAGGGAGGGAGGUGCUGCUGCCCUGCGCUCACUUGAACUUGAGAAGGGUGGCGUCCAGGGUCAGCAGAGAGAGGAAGGGCGCCAUGGAGCAGGGGAAAAUGGAGAGGGGCGCCGGCCAUGGAGAGCCUGCUGGCGGCCAUGGACAGAGAGGGGCGAGCUGCAGAGGGGCGUCGCUGGGGAAGGGCGCCAUGGUUGUGGGGGUGCUCGGCUACUGCAGAGAUGGAGCUCGCCCCUGCAGGAAGGAGCCGAGGGGAGAAGGGAGGCCAGCCGAGGGAGGAGCAGGCCUGGGCGCCAUGGGAGGAAGGGAGGAAGCUCCCUGCGCGUUGGGGAAGAAGGCGUGGGGGAGAAAAGGCUGAUGGCGGCUGGAAAAACAAUAGGGGUGGGAAUGCAAAAUGACCAAGGGCAAGGGAGAGGGAUCCGUAUUUAUAGAGAAACCCUAGGGUUAGGGUUUCAAAUGGGCCCAAUUGGGCUGGUUUGGGCUGGCCCAAACGCGCAAACGGGCUGCGCUAAAUUAUUUUUCCGAAUAAAAAUGCUCCCGCGUAAUUCGUUUCUACAGAGAACAGAGCGAAUUAGAGUUUCGGCGAACGGACGAUUGAGCGAUUAAUUCGGCCGAGAGUUGGAUUUGAUUUCGCUCGGAAAUAAUUCAUCGCGCACUAUUUUAGAAAUAAAUGUGUCUCUCAGAUUUCUGAUCGGCUUUGAAUUUUAGUCGGAGAAAGCGAAUCGUGACAUUUUAAAAUCGCUGUCGGAGGGAGUUUUGAAUUCGGUUUAGAUACAAAGAUACUGGGCUGAGUCGAGUAAGAAUUAAUUAGAGGGCGACAUACUGAGUAUUCCGUUUAAGAGUACGGACUCGGAUAAAAUAGUCGGACAUCGAUCGAAGUUCGAGGAAUUUAGAUGCGGGCUCAGAUCAGAUAACAGUCGUCGAGAGUUUGAUUAAAUGAGCUUUCGAUGAGAUUUAUAAUUCGAGAUGGAUUAUCAAGUUCGCAUUCGUGCCGAGAAUUAAAAGUUUUAACAGGCUCCAAAAUUGGCCUUCUGUGAGAUUUAAAAAUUCCGAAUUCGGCGAAAUGUGAAUGAAUAAUCUGGAUAAUCAGAGACAUACGCGAGCGAGAAAGAGAAAUUUUUACUGAGCAUCCGAGAUUAGGAUUAAUCUCCCGUCAUAACACUAAACUGACACCUGGGGUGUCACAGCCUUCCCCCCUUAAAAAGAAUCUCGUCCCGAGAUUCAGAUGAGGGUCUUCAAGGGUGGAGAAGCAUGUAACGCCCAGGCUGAAGAUAGAUGCAAAUUCGUGAAAGGGUAUCUGACAAGAUACCGAAGAUAGAUUUGGAUAGAAUAUCGCGGCAUGUUGAGACAAAAUGCAGCGAUCACCUUGAGAGAAUAUCCACAAAAGGCAGCACAUCAGUAUAGUCUCGCAAUGGAUCACAACUAUUAACCACGAUACCAGCGCGUGCCGAGUAGCUCAACCAUGUGUGCACCAUAGUAGGCUCUCGGUCUCGUCGCGGCACCAUCAGUCGUUAGUCAUGACACCAUUACCAAACGUAACCAAUAAGAAAUUCACAUAGCAUAGAUAGAUGGAGCCCAUGAGAGUAUGGCUCAGAAAAUGUGACUAAAGUUGAAGCAAAGAUUAUUGGCAAAAGAGCAUCACAUGAGAAUUUUUAUUUAACUCAGAGAACUAUUUUAUGAUCAACAUGGAGAUUAUCAGAUCAGAUAUUAGCACGAGAUUUGAUAUGAGGAUGAACCGACCAUGAGAUCAAAACAGAUUGUUGAGCUUUUAGAGACAUGAGAACCAAGGACAACAACGGAAUCCAUUGAACCCGAUGGAUACACCAUUUAGAGAUAAAAUUGAUAAAACAUCGUCAUGAUCCUCGGAGAAGGGGGUAUGAGAAUGACCAGAAAUGAGAGAUUUAGGCAAGAUCAACAUCUGAUACUUGAGAACGGGUUAUAGCAGAUAACCAGAUAACGGGGCAGAUUCAGUAAGGAAUCCAGAGAUUCGGAUGAUAAAGCCACAACAUGAUUCACAAGGAAAGAGAUCACCAGAUCCAUGCGAAAGGAGAGGUAGGCAACAAGAUCAGCUAGAUGGUCAACAGGAAUGCUAUGAAGUUUUAGGGGCAAGGAUUUAGGGAAAGAAACAUGGCUUGGUCAUGGUUUGCGCAACUAGACACCAAACAACAAUUUUUUUUUCUUAGACGCAACAAGUGCACCCGGAGACUUGGGUUGGUUUAACGGUCAAGCUAUGGGUGUCUAUAAGUUGUGCAGGUGCAAUUUCAAGUGUCAAACACACAAGGGCUAGAAACACCAAAACAAGCACAAAUAUAUUUUUUUUUGAGGUUUCACUCGCUAAAGUCAAGGUUGUUAAAGCGGGGGUGUCUUUUUAUGAGGAAACAAACAACACAUUUUUUUGCAAAAAGGGUUGAUCAAUUUCAAUACCACCUAGAUAGCAAGGCAAGAGAAACACAUAACACAACCUAACAAGACUUACCAAUCUAACACGAGGUAAGGCAUGUCUAAUAUAGCAGUACACCACAUUAUUCACAAGUUCUUAUUAUUGGAAUAUAGGUGAGAGAAGCAUGUUAGUGCACAAGAGAUAAUUAUAAUGCGACAAUCAUGAUGCAUGCUCAUUUUAGUCGUCUUCUCAGACCUAACUAAUUUUUCGGAUGCUUCUACAACAUCCUGCUAGUAGCAAUAGUAGCCUUUAUGGCCUAUAUAAAUAGCCACCUAGCUACCCAUCUAUGUCCUAUGGCUUCUCGUCCUAGGUCUAUCCUGAUCGUCCUGACGAUCUAUCCAACUUUGGUUUCUAGCAAGUUUUACUUUAGAAAAGGUUGGUAAUCAUGACUUAUUGACUUCUCUGUGAUGGUAUUCGCUCCGAUACCAGCUGUGGCGGAACCGCCCGAAUUAUUCCAACUUAAGUGCCUAAGUCCUGCUUUAGAGGCUAGACCACACUUAAAUAGGAAUAACCCGUCAGUCCCUCGGAUCUAGUCCGAUAAAGCCACUUAACCAGGAUCGAAUACCACUAGCUCACACGAAGGUGAGGCACAGAAAAAUACAAUAAAACAUAAUACCACAAAUUUAAUAAGUAUAAUUAGUGAUUACAUUAUCGGAGUUUCAGAAAUAAUAACCAUAAGUUUUAAUGCAGCAGAAAUAACUAACGGAGAAAACCGAGUAACAUGGCGAAGCCUGGCCACGCUACUCCUCCUGGUCCUCUCCUGCGGAAGCAGUAACCCACUCGACCAUCUAUCCCGGUGGCGGGGAUGAAGGCCAAGUCACACCAGCAACCAAUCAUCCUAAGGAGUACCUGCAAAAAUUAUGCCACAAGCAAGGCUGAGUAUACUAAUACUCAGCUAGACUUACCCGGUGUGAGGAGUCUACUCCUCUACCUCUAGACAUGCAGCUGUUUGGCUGAGGGGUUUGGUUUGCCAAAAGCACUAGCUGAGUCUAAAAUCAAGUUUUAGCUUUUCAAGUUUUAGUAUGAUCCUUUGUAACUAGAUGUGUACCUAGCUAAUCAUACAUGGUAUCAAACAUUAUUGCAAUCAACAUCUUUUUGCCAGUCACCUCAUUUCCACUUAUUACUCAAUGCAGUACAAUAGAUCAAGCAGUCUCAUUAGCUGCGAGAAGCAGACGAUUCGAAUCGAGUUUUUAUCCUUGCAAGGUAAACCUAAACACACGACAUGUAGGGGCACUCCGUCCCCACACACAUCAACCGUCCCCAUCGAUUCCCCGUCAGCAGAUCAGGGCUCACCGCCUUGGCGUACAAUGCCUCACUGACCCCGACUGGCCGUCGUGCAGUGACCGCACUUGUACCCACCAUAACCGGAAUGGGAGACCUCGUCUCAGGUCGCGUGAGGGGCAAAGUCUACUGCCAGGUUCAAUCAGGUACUAGGCUUACCGAUUUACCAUAUUUCUCGGCAUAUGUUUAGUACGUUCAAACGCUUGACACAGGUAUCCGCACGUUAAUCCUUAUUCCAAUUUCCUCUCGUAGACCACGCAUCCCCAUGGAUCCGUGUCCACAGACCAACAUCAGUAUGAUAUGAAAGUGGGUACAAUCAAUGUCCUGACCUCGCGCGAGUGCUAGAAAAAUCACUCGACUUCUACCGAGAUCCCUAUUUAAUAAAGCAGCUACUCGACCUAGCAUACUAGUAUCCAUCUCAAAGGGAAUCCUGAGUUCAUGCAACUAGGGUUUCAUUCAACUCCUACACUUAAGUGCACGGUACAAGCCUACAAACAUUAAGUGUAGUAAAAUAGCAUAUAUAACGGUUAUGCAUAAAACCGGGGCUUGCCUUUAAUUUAACACUUAGAUAGUGUUUGCUGGGUGGCACUCGCUUGGCGAGCAUCCACUGGUUAUGUCCAUCCUUCCUUAGGUUGUCCACCGACUGCAUCUUGUGGUUGGCACCACAUCACUAGCUCGAUCAUCAUCUCUCGGUCCUAUAUGAGGUGCAAGAUGCAUAUGUAUGAACAUAAUGAAAGUAGCACAAAAAUAGCACACGAUAUACAAAGACACAGUGGCGAACUAAACAUUAAAGUGGAAGACACCGUAGAUAACUACAUGUUAGCUUUAGUUAUCUACACGGCAUCGGCGUUCAACAUUAACACCAUUAAAAAGAUGACAACAUUUUAUUUAUUUACGCAACAUGACCACGACAUCACAAGUACACGCAUUUACUACGCUCACCUUAAUCGUUCAUUUGUUCUUCUAUUGACCGUACAAGAGCAACCAAUACAACGUAAGUUUAAAUAGGACCUAGGCAUUCAUGUCUAUGAACUCCUAUAUCACAAUCAACUAGAGAAGAAACAUAUAAAACAGGACACUUAGGCAAUAUUAAGCUUAGUCAUGGCAAGUCUACAUUUAUUUAAGUGCUAACCAAACAUUUUUAGCCAACGGGUGAACUAACAAUCAAAUGAGCACUAGCAGAAUUUUUGGACAGCAAUACAGCAGUCAUUUGUUUCAGUCAUAACUCACAAGAUAUUUACUCAAAAAUAGUAAACUAGGACUUUCUAGAAAGCUUGAAAAGUGCUUUACAACUUUGGUAUUGUCAUCACAGCAUGAUUAAACACUUAGCAAGGUCAAAAGGUGUUAACACAACAGUGCUGUCCAGAUUUGGACAGAUUCAGACUUAUGACUUUAAAAAUUCAUAACUGAAGAUUCAGGCAUCCAAACAAGGUGAUCCUAGACUUUCUGGAAAGGUAAUAAAAUUGUCUACAUAUCACUUAUAAACAUCUUAAGGUGAUUCAAUAGUUAACUAAGGAUAAAAUACAGUAGAAGGCUUUGCUGUCCAGAAUUGGACAGAUUCAGUCUUCAGACUUCAAACAUCCAUAACUUAAUCUUCAGACCACCAAAAAGAGUGAUCCAAGACUUUUUGAAAAGCUCAGCAAAAGAACUACAUAACUUUUAUAAUCACUAAGAAGUGAUUCAAUGUUUAACUAAAUCAAACAACACAGUUUUCGAAAUCUGUUCUGACGGUGGACAGAACACAGCAAGCAGUUUGUAAAAUUCAUAACUCUUAAACCGUCAGGCCUAUAGUUAUGAAAUUUUAACACAAGCAAGAUAAGAAAAGCCUCUACAACUUUCUUAUAAUGAUCAUGAACAGGUUGCAACAUUAAAUUGAGCAAACAAUACAAUUUCUGAAAUCUGUACAGAAUUUGGACAGAUUCAGUUACUGAAUUUGUAAAAAGCACAACUCCUAAACUGUUAGACCUGUGGCUGUCAAAUUUUAACAUCAGCAAGAUAAUAAAGUUAUCUACCACUUUUCUAUAGCACAUAUCUACAGAAAACACAAUUUAG
rnacentral:lncRNA from 1 species